rnacentral:rRNA from 1 species
UACGAAGGGGGCUAGCGUUGCUCGGAUUUACUGGGCGUAAAGGGCGCGUAGGCGGACAGUUAAGUUGGGGGUGAAAGCCCGGGGCUCAACCUCGGAAUUGCCUUCAAUACUGGCUGUCUUGAGUGUGAGAGAGGUGUGUGGAACUCCGAGUGUAGAGGUGAAAUUCGUAGAUAUUCGGAAGAACACCAGUGGCGAAGGCGACACACUGGCUCACUACUGACGCUGAGGCGCGAAAGCGUGGGGAGCAAACAGGAUUAGAUACCCUGGUAGUCCACGCUGUAAACGAUGAGUGCUAGUUGUCGGGCGGCAUGCCGUUCGGUGACGCAGCUAACGCAUUAAGCACUCCGCCUGGGGAGUACGGUCGCAAGAUUAAA